UACGGAGGGUGCGAGCGUUAAUCGGAAUUACUGGGCGUAAAGCGUGCGCAGGCGGUUUUGUAAGCCAGAUGUGAAAUCCCCGGGCUCAACCUGGGAAUGGCAUUUGGGACUGCAAGGCUGGAGUGUGGCAGAGGAGACUGGAAUUCCUGGUGUAGCAGUGAAAUGCGUAGAUAUCAGGAGGAAUACCGAUGGCGAAGGCAGGUCUCUGGGCUGACACUGACGCUCAGGAGCGAAAGCAUGGGUAGCGAACAGG
rnacentral:rRNA from 1 species